GAAUAACAUGGAUAGGUAGGGACAUAUUGUAGAGACAUGACAGGUUUAAUGAGGAGAAAUCUGUGGUGCCCAUGUUGGUAUCAAUAGCAUUUAUCACACUGCAAUAUGUAUCACUCAGAUCAGCUGCUGUAAGAGAAACGAAGGAUAAGACCAAUCUGGUAGGCCAAGGCUGACAUCUGCAUGCACCGGUUACGAAGAAUGGUUGCUGCAACAGUAGCCACAACUGUAUAGUCAGGGUUCUCAUCUGAUGCCCUCUGACGCUUCUUGGUUUUUGACCAGCAUAUGCAGUCUAGCAGUUCAGUUGUUAAUGGUGCUCUGGUCUUUAACUCCUCAAUAAAAUCAGAGAGUUUAAAUAAUGGCAGUGAAUCAUGACGAGUAAGCCUCAGAGUGCUGGGUGACUUAGUUGAGCUGAGAUCCAACAACUCUUGUUCUAUUCUUUUGAAGACAAUCUUCUUCGCCGCCAAACAAUCAGUAGCCUUGCCAAGCAGGGUAGACAGAGCAAGCUGAUUAAGCCCCAAAGCCAAGUACUUUACUACACACGCAAUAUGCUCAUCUUUGAUCUUGAUUUUCCUUGGACCUGAGGGGUAGUGAACUGUUAUCUACAAUGAAAGGAGAGAUUCAUGUUUUCUUGUCCUUUAUCAUUAUAACAGGUCAUUUUUUUUUUACAACUGAGAGAAAUAAAGGAUAAGAAAGCCUCUGAUAGCAGGUUAGGUAAUUGUUCAUGUUAGCUCUAAAAUUUGAAUUGUUUUAGAGAAAAUUUCCCUGGUAGCAGAGGCCUCUUUACUCUGUAUUCCCAGCGAAAUACAGGGAAAAGAGGCCUCUGCUAGCAGGGAACAGAAUCUCCAAAUGGUGGAUUGAUUAGUUGGUCAUCAGGUCCGAGCAUGCCUCGAAAUAUUGGGGGGCACAAUACAAAAA